UACGUAGGUGGCAAGCGUUGUCCGGAUUUACUGGGCGUAAAGAGCGCGCAGGCGGUCGUUCAAGUCGCGUGUGAAAGCCCCCGGCUCAACUGGGGAGGGUCACGCGAUACUGAUCGACUCGAAGGCAGGAGGGGGUAGUGGAAUUCCCGGUGUAGUGGUGAAAUGCGUAGAUAUCGGGAGGAACACCAGUGGCGAAGGCGACUACCUGGCCUGUUCUUGACGCUGAGGCGCGAAAGCUAGGGGAGCAAACGGG
rnacentral:rRNA from 1 species